rnacentral:rRNA from 1 species
UACAGAGGUCCCGAGCGUUUGUUCGGAUUCACUGGGCGUAAAGGGUGCGUAGGUGGCUGGAAAAGUUUGAUGUGAAAGCUCAGGGCUUAACCCUGAAAUGGCAUUGAAUACUGUCGAGCUGGAGGUUUGGAGGGGGACUGGAAUUCUUGGUGUAGCAGUGAAAUGCGUAGAUAUCAAGAGGAACACCAGUGGCGAAGGCGAGUCCCUGGACAACACCUGACACUGAGGCACGAAAGCUAGGGGAGCAAACAGG